rnacentral:rRNA from 1 species
AUUGCACGCUGGCGGCAGGCCCAACACAUGCAAGUCGAGCGAUCGGCGGACGGGUGAGUAAUGUCUGGGAAAAUGCCUGAUGGAGGGGGAUAACUGCUGGAAACGGUAGCUAAUACCGCAUACAAUCAGAUGUGCCCAGAUGGGGAUAGCUAGUAGGUGGGGUAAUGGCUAACCUAGGCGACGAUCCCUAGAUGGACUGAGAGGAUGACCAGCAACACUGGAACUGAGACACGGUCCAGACUCCGACGUGAGGCAGUAGUGGGGAAUAUUGCACAAGGGGCGCAAGCCUGAUGCAGCCAUGCCGCGUGUAUGAAGAAGGCCUUCGGGUUGUAAAGUACUUUCAGCGAGGAGGCGUUACUCGCAGAAGAAGCACCGGCUAACUCCGUGCCAGCCGCCGCGGUAAUAC